AUAGUUUAACAUAUUGUAAUUCAUCACCUUUCAACUCAUUUCAACCAAAUAAAAUCAAUUCAUAUAAAUCGAGUAAUCAACAUGGCUUAUGAAUUUCUUAAAACUUUGGCUCGUGCCAAAAUCAUUCUCAUACUCAGUUAUUAGGGAUACCUUGAUCGAGGGCUAUCCCAACCGAGACCGCCAAGGCUGUUAAAAAGUUAUGUACGCAUAAAUCAUGUUUUUAUUUUGAAAACAUAGUUGUUCCUUGGCGUUGGCUGAGUUCACCCUUACAUGGUGGUUGGGCGUGAAGUGAACUCUAAAGUGUUAACCUCAAGAGUUAUCCAUCCGCACCUCUCACUGAGGUAUGAAUAUAAUAGGAUUACCGUGGCCCUCUAAUAGGCUGGUCCACGGAACCCGUCCACUGCAGCGACUAAUUUAUAACCCACCAAUUUAAUAAAAUUUACGAUAGCAUGACAUGACAAUUAUUUUAUUUUACAGCCUUUCAAGGCAAAUUAACAGUUCAUACAUUUUCAACACAUUUACCAAAUCAACCAUUCAUGCCAAUAUUAUCAUAAGCCAUUCAAUUCAAACCAUGAUUUAUAACACAGCAAUUAGUCUCCAAUUGCUCCAUUUUCCAAAACCAUCAUUCAAUUUCAAGACAAUUUUGUAAAAUCAUUUCAUUUAAUCACAUUUUGCUUAUAAAACAUAAAGAUUUGCCAUUUAAACUCAUUUUCCAUAAAAUCACAAAAUUGGAUAAAAACCACUCUAGAUAAUUAAGACGAUAGUAAGGUUACUCACUAUUUCGAGAGUCGAAUUCCAAGUACUCCGAUUCUUGAUCCUCGGAUACUAUCUCUUUACUUUUGCCAGAAAGCUCACCACCUAGACAUAAUGCACAAUAAGCCAUUUACUACAUUUUGCUAAAUUGUUAUAAAACCAAUUCAGGCUUUACACUAAUGUAUGAAAUGGGAUGCAAAUUGUUCAGAUUAUUAUCUAAACACGGUGUUCUACACAAAUUCAAUUCAGUACCUAAAUAAAAUGGUAUUGGCCUAAUUCAAUCUAUCUCUCGAUUAAUUGUCCAAUAUGUCCAAUUUAACUCCAAAUAAUUCCAUUUUUCUCCCAACACUCCAAAUCAUCAAACACAAGUCAAAUAACUUGAAAUAUGGCAAAAAUCAUCCUCACAUUUUCUCUUGAGAAUUUCGGCCAUAGUGGGUGCAUCAAUACUAUGAUUUUUCCUACUUGAUUUUCUCACCGUAAUUCAUCAUUUCCUAACCAAUUCACUUGAAAUAAAAUCAAAAUCAGCAUCCACACUCUACAUGGAAAAUUCGGCCAAUGAUGGGUGAUGGGAGAAAAUGAAUUUUUCUUGCUUGAUUUUUCAUGCUACACAUCACUAACAAACUAAAAACACUAAAAUACAUUGAAAUCUAACCAAAUCAAGCAUCAAAAUCUCUCUAAGUGUUCGGCCAGCAAGGGAUUCAUCAUACUUUCAUGUGAUUCAACCAUGGAAAAUAAGAAAAAAUGCUUAAGAAAGAUAGAUCACAAGCUUAAUUGAAAAAUCUUACCUUUUUUUUCACUUGUUUCCUUGAAUUUUCACACUUUUCCCUUGAAUUUUUCCACCUAGGGUUUGUUCUUCCUUUUUCUUCCUUUGUUCUUGCUUUGGCUGGCCAUA
rnacentral:lncRNA from 1 species